rnacentral:rRNA from 1 species
AGUGAACGCUGGCGGUAGGCCUAACACAUGCAAGUCGAACGGCAGCACAGGAGAGCUUGCUCUCUAGGUGGCGAGUGGCGGACGGGUGAGGAAUACAUCGGAAUCUGCCCAGUCGGGGGGGAUAACGUAGGGAAACUUACGCUAAUACCGCAUACGACCUUCUGGUGAAAGAGGGGGAUCGCAAGACCUCUCGCGAUUGGAUGAGCCGAGGUCGGAGUAGCUAGUUAGCGGGGUAAUGGCCCACCAAGGCGACGAUCCGUAGCUGGUCUGAGAGGAUGAUCAGCCACACUGGAACUGAGACACGGUCCAGACUCCUACGGGAGGCAGCAGUGGGGAAUAUUGGACAAUGGGCGCAAGCCUGAUCCAGCCAUACCGCGUGGGUGAAGAAGGCCUUCGGGUUGUAAAGCCCUCUUGUUGGGAAAGAAAUCUUUCAGGCUAAUACCCUGGGAGGAUGACGGUACCCAAAGAAUAAGCACCGGCUAACUUCGUG